rnacentral:hammerhead_ribozyme from 1 species
AUCCAGCUGACGAGUCCGAAAUAGGACGAAAUGCACACCAUGGAU